GACGAACGCUGGCGGCGUGCUUAACACAUGCAAGUCGAACGGAAAGGCCCUUCGGGGUACUCGAGUGGCGAACGGGUGAGUAACACGUGGGUGAUCUGCCCUGCACUUUGGGAUAAGCCUGGGAAACUGGGUCUAAUACCGAAUAGGACCACGCGCUUCAUGGUGUGUGGUGGAAAGCUUUUGCGGUGUGGGAUGGGCCCGCGGCCUAUCAGCUUGUUGGUGGGGUAAUGGCCUACCAAGGCGACGACGGGUAGCCGGCCUGAGAGGGUGACCGGCCACAUGGGACAUAGGCGAGGGCCGGGACGCCUGGGGGGGGCACCGGGGGAAAUUUUGGGACGAUGGGGGCGAGCGUGAGAAAGCGUUGCGCGGGGAGAGAUGACGGCCUUCGGUUUGAAACCAAUUUUCGCCGGAGGGUUUCUUCAGAGGAGGUAACAAGGUAAGGAGUCCCCGCCCGAAAACGUA
rnacentral:rRNA from 1 species